GACGAACGCUGGCGGCGUGCUUAACACAUGCAAGUCGAACGGAAAGGCCCCUUCGGGGGUACUCGAGUGGCGAACAGGUGAGUAACACGUGAGUAACCUGCCCUUGACUUCGGGAUAACUUCAGGAAACUGGGGCUAAUACCGGAUAGGAAUCCUUGCUGCAUGGUGGGGGUUGGAAAGCUUCGGCGGUUUUGGAUGGACUCGCGGCUUAUCAGCUUGUUGGUGGGGUAGUGGCUUACCAAGGCUUUGACGGGUAGCCGGCCUGAGAGGGCGACCGGCCACAUUGGGACUGAGAUACGGCCCAGACUCCUACGGGAGGCAGCAGUGGGGAAUAUUGCACAAGGGGCGGAAGCCUGAUGCAGCAACGCCGCGGGCGGGAUGACGGCCUUCGGGUUGUAAACCGCUUUCAGCAGGGGCGAAGCUUGUGGUGACGGUACCUGCAGAAGAAGCACCGGCUAACUACGUG
rnacentral:rRNA from 1 species